UAAUUCAAAAAUGUAAAUUAAAAAAUUUAAUUUUCUUAAUCACUUACAUUAUUUUUUCCAUAUCAUUAACCAUCCAUCGAAAUCUUCCAUGCAACACAUCAUGCAUAUCUAUUUCAAUUUUACUUUCGAGCCGGUUGAAGAAACUGGGCCAGCUCGUAGAAAUAUACGUUUUCCAAAGUGUAUAUCUCACGAGGAAAAGGAAAUCGAUUGGAUUUCGCGAUAUUUUUUUUUGCGAAAGAAGAGGGGAUACGAAGAAGAAAUCGGUUUGCAUCGAGAAAAAGUGAAAUUUAAAAGAUUCUGUAAUUCUGUGAAAUUCCGUGAGAAUUUCCUAUCACUGUACAAACACAUGUUAAUAAUGGAAAAAUACGCGGCACGAUACCGAGAUAGGUGAAAAUCGUUCUUGAUAAUUGAUAAGGAGCAAUUUCUAUCGUCAAAAUGAUGCAGCAUACGAACACAAUAGCUUGAGCACAACGAACAACAAUACAGUUAAGUUUGCAGAGAGAAAAUCUUUUUAGAGAACGUUCACCUUGUUGUCGGUGCGUGCAACGGGCAACCCACUUUCCGUUGCGCCGUAUAUACCUUUCCAUCGAGAAAAUAAAGCGCAGCAUCUUUUCUCGAUACUUUCGUAUCGGUGUAAAAACUCUCUGUUGAAAACUCUGGCGACGGAAAGAAAAGAAUAAUUUUGACGAAGGAAAAUGAAAAGAUAAAUAUAUAUAUGUAACUUACU